UACGUAGGGCGCAAGCGUCGUCCGGAUUUAUUGGGCGUAAAGAGCUCGUAGGCGGUUUGUCGCGUCUUCCGUGAAAACUGGGGGCUUAACUUCCAGCUUGCGGUGGAUACGGGCUGACUGGAGUGCGGCAGGGGAGACUGGAAUUCCUGGUGUAGCGGUGAAAUGCGCAGAUAUCAGGAGGAACACCGGUGGCGAAGGCGGUUCUCUGGGCAUGUCCUGACGCUGAGGAGCGAAAGCGUGGGGAGCAAACAGG
rnacentral:rRNA from 1 species